AUCUACGGCCAUGCCACCCUGAACAAGUCCGAUGUCUGAUCUCAAAAGCUAAGCAAGGUUGGACCUGGGUAGCACUUGGAUGGGAGAUCACCUAGGAAGAGCAGGCGCUGUAGGCA
rnacentral:rRNA from 1 species